rnacentral:rRNA from 1 species
AUUGAACGCUGGCGGCAUGCCUUACACAUGCAAGUCGAACGCGAAAGUGGGGGCAACCCUGCGAGUAGAGUGGCGAACGGGUGAGUAAUACAUCGGAACGUACCCAGGAGUGGGGGACAACCUCGAGAAAUCGAGGCUAAUACCGCAUACGUCCUGAGGGAGAAAGUGGGGGAUCCGCAAGGACCUCGCGCUCAUGGAGCGGCCGAUGUCGGAUUAGCUAGUUGGCGGGGUAAAGGCCCACCAAGGCUACGAUCCGUAGCUGGUUUGAGAGAACGACCGGCCACACUGGGACUGGGACACGGCCCAGACUCCUACGGGAGGCAGCAGUGGGGAAUUUUGGACAAUGGGGGCAACCCUGAUCCAGCCAUGCCGCGUGGGUGAAGAAGGCCUUCGGGUUGUAAAGCUCUUUCGGCCGGAACGAAAUCGGCAACGUGAAUAUCGUUGCUGGAUGACGGUACUGGAAGAAGAAGCACCGGCUAACUACGUGCCAGCAGCCGCAGUAACAC